rnacentral:lncRNA from 1 species
ACAUGUUCUGAGUGGAGGUCUGUUUAUAUUCUGAGAUGAAAUGGUGGAUCUUGUGCUUGAAAAGAGAAAUUUUGUGUCUGAUAUGUUGUUGCAGGAGCUGGACAGUCUCAUUAAUAAACAAUAGAUGGGAAAGAGGAAAUUAUGGACUCAAGAAUAGAUUCUCAAGUGUGAACAAACAAUUACCACCUGAGAAUCCAUUCCCAAUUUUCUGUGUGAAAUGGAAAAUGAAGAUAAAAAUAUAUUCAAACACCACCUGCAAUUGACCGCUAUUCAGUUUGAUGAACUUUUACGAAAAUUCAAUCAUUUGACAUAAAUAUGUGAGCUUCACUCUACUUACAAUAUUGUUGUUUACUGCUUUCUGCUAUCUUGAAAUUUCCAAUCAGCUACAACUCUGUCAGAAUAGUUUAGUUGUCGUCUCUGAUCGUAUCAACCUAUUUAAUGAGCG